GAUUGAUCUUAAAUUCACAACACACAUUAAGCAAAACUAUAUCCACCAACCCACAAAAUUACACCUAUAGAUCUGCUACAAACUCUCCAAAUUGCCUAAAAUGUCAAACCUAUUUUAUUUUACAAAAAUCAAAGUCACUUGAAACAACCUUGAUUUUGUAAAGCUCUUACAAAGUCAUUACAAAUUUAAAUUGCACAAAACUAAUGCUCAUAGAAAUCCUAUCAAGUGUGCUAUCAAAUCCCACCCUCCAAUCUAC
rnacentral:lncRNA from 1 species